GGGUAAGUCUUGUACGGCCAGCUCCUGCCGAAUCCCCCAGGGUAGGAAUACAGCAAGGGUAGGUGGUUGUAGCGGCGCGAUGCAAGUAGCUUACCCAUU
rnacentral:SRP_RNA from 1 species